UAAGUCCCGCAACGAGCGCAACCCUUAUCCUUUGUUGCCAGCGGUUCGGCCGGGAACUCAAAGGAGACUGCCAGUGAUAAACUGGAGGAAGGUGGGGAUGACGUCAAGUCAUCAUGGCCCUUACGAGUAGGGCUACACACGUGCUACAAUGGCGUAUACAAAGAGAAGCGACCUCGCGAGAGCAAGCGGACCUCAUAAAGUACGUCGUAGUCCGGAUUGGAGUCUGCAACUCGACUCCAUGAAGUCGGAAUCGCUAGUAAUCGUAGAUCAGAAUGCUACGGUGAAUACGUUCCCGGGCCUUGUACACACCGCCCGUCACACCAUGGGAGUGGGUUGCAAAAGAAGUAGGUAGCUUAACCUUCGGGAGGGCGCUUACCA
rnacentral:rRNA from 1 species